rnacentral:rRNA from 1 species
UACGAAGGGGGCGAGCGUUGUUCGGAAUUACUGGGCGUAAAGGGCGCGUAGGCGGCGACUCAAGUUAGAUGUGAAAGUCCUGGGCUUAACCUGGGGACUGCAUUUGAUACUGGGUUGCUUGAAUUCGGGAGAGGAUAGCGGAAUUCCCAGUGUAGAGGUGAAAAUUCGUAGAUAUUGGGAAGAACACCGGUGGCGAAGGCGGCUAUCUGGACCGACAUUGACGCUGAGGCGCGGACAGCGUGGGGAGCAAACGAGG